GAUUGGUGUGGUAUUAUGUGCCUGUAGCCCCAGCUACUCAGAAGCCUGAGGUGGGAGGAUCACUUGAGUCCAGGAGUUCUAGAGUGCAGUUUUUUAUGCUUAUUGGGUGUUCACACUAAGUUCAACAUCAAUAUGGUGACUUCCCAGGAGCAGUGGAUCACCAAAUUGACUAAGAAAAGGUGAGCUGGCCCAGGUAAGAAAUGGAGCAAGUCAAAACUCCUAAGCUGAUCAGUAGUGAGAUCAUGCCAUUUCAUAAUAGUAAUGCUAAAAUGUUACAUGUAGCUCUUUAUUUGAAGGUCGUUUUCGUU
rfam:Fukomys damarensis contig154781, whole genome shotgun sequence.